UAUUAAAAAUUUUAUCUAAUUAUAUUUAUAAAAAUUGACAUGACCAAUGGAAUAAUCAAACAGUGUCACAUAGCUUUCUAUGUGUACCUCAUGCUAACAUACAAAAGCCCGUUUUUAACAGUACAAAUGAACAAAAUUUCAACA
rnacentral:pre_miRNA from 1 species